GAUAUGUAUUCCCAAUGCUGUAUAUAUAAAAAUAAAUGCAUUUAGUUAAACAAAAUAUGAAUAUAAUAUGUUUGUAACCUUGACAUAUAAAGAUUUUAUUAUCUACCUGGUCUUAUUAUGACAAUUGCUGCUAUUAUGACCAUGAUCUUGCCUGUAUUUAGAUAGCUUAUAUUUUCUGUUGUAAAAUUAGUACUCAUUUACCACCAAUCAAAAAGUUCAAUGGCGCGUUAAAACACAACUUCAUUCAGGGGGCUCAAUAACAAAACUUGCAAGUUUAAGGGCUCUGUAGUGGCUCAUUCCCAUUUAAAUUGAUGGAGCAACCAAAGUGGAGCUGCAUUUAUCUACAUGUAGCACUUAUUCUGAC
rnacentral:misc_RNA from 1 species